GAGCGAAAGGUGAGCUGGAGGUCAGUGAACUUCAUAUGAAAAAAAUGUUCAUGCUCACUGUCAGAAAAGUGCGAAUCAAGGACACACCAAGAUUCCACUUCACUCCAGCCAGAAAACAACUGUUCCGAGCCUGUCUCUCUGCUGGGACACACACAAGUGCGGUGUCUCUCCCAGGAUCCCCACAUCCCAGGCUUCUGAGCACAGCCACAGAGCAUCGAGCCACAGAGGGCAUGUGUUCUUCUCCUGAACUGGCAACGCAGCAAAGGGUCCUUGGUGUGAGCAAGGAUAUAUAACUCUUGCUACUAAAAUCAAGGAAGUUCUGAGCCUGCUAAGGUGAGUCACCUUACCUUUGGGAAGACUAAGUAUUGAGUCACACACACACACACACACACACACACACACACACACACACACAUGCAUGGACACACACACGCACGCACACAAGCAUAUACAUGAUAUAUCAGGAACAGAAGUAUGAAGGUAAUUGUUUCAACAAUGGAGGGGGUGAGAAGAAGGAGGAAGAGGAGAAAGAGAAGGGAAGCACGAUUCUUACCGUUGAUUUGAGCCUGUGCACUCUCUGAAGGACAGAGUCUUGGCCUUCUUGUGGAAGGAACCCAUGUCACUAUGUAACUAUGUCUGGUGGUAACUAUCCAGGCCUUUUAUGACCACAGAUACUCCAAGUUGUCACCAAGGUUAUUCCAGCCACAGUUAGAGGGAACACAUUUAAUUUGCUAGCCAGAGCCUACCUGAAGGUAUUGGGCUUGGAGGAUGAGCAUCAGUGACCUCUUGGAGCUGAGCAGAGGGUCCUGUUGUUACACUGGUUGGGCCACUGAAGACACAGCCUGGGACACAUGGUAUAUGAUGACUAUUCUCUGUCUAACAAGGGUACCCCAGGAGGACCCCUGGAGUGAGAACUUCAACAGGGCCAGUUAACCCUCUGGCUCUCCAUCAGCUAUUCUAGGAGGUCAACCAUCUAGUUGAUUGGUAAGCCAGGACAUUGCUUUAUAGACUUAGGAACACCAUUGCCAUAAAAACCAAACAUGAGCAAGAAGUGGCAUAGACUCAGGUGUUGAAGGACACAGAACUCAGAGAGUCUGGUAAGGCAACCAUGUCCCCACGACGCCUUUAUGGACUGGUCUUGCCCGCACAUGCAUAUCUCCAGCAGAGAAAGGACUUCCUGUCACCAAAAAGGAGGAAAACGCAGGAAACACCCUGUGGGUCUGCUAUACACUUCACAAUCAAUGGGGUACUCUGAGAUAACUGGAAAUGACUAGAAAUUCACCCCCUCCAAGUUCUGGAAGCAGGGAAGGCCAAAACGGAGGGAUUGGCGU